UGGGGAAUAUUGCACAAUGGAGGGAACUCUGAUGCAGCGACGCCGCGUGAACGAAGAAGGCUUUCGAGUCGUAAAGUUCUUUUAUAUGGGAAGAUAAUGACGGUACCAUAAGAAAAAGCCCCGGCUAACUACGUGCCAGCAGCCGCGGUAAUACGUAGGGGGCUAGCGUUGUCCGGAAUCACUGGGCGUAAAGGGUUCGCAGGCGGAAAUGCAAGUCAGGUGUAAAAGGCAGUAGCUUAACUACUGUAAGCAUUUGAAACUGCAUAUCUUGAGAAGAGUAGAGGUGAGUGGAAUUUUUAGUGUAGCGGUGAAAUGCGUAGAUAUUAAAAAGAAUACCGGUGGCGAAGGCGACUUACUGGGCUCAUUCUGACGCUGAGGAACGAAAGCGUGGGUAGCAAACAGG
rnacentral:rRNA from 2 species